AUUGAACGCUGGCGGAAUGCUUUACACAUGCAAGUCGAGCGGCAGCGCGGGGCAACCUGGCGGCGAGCGGCGAACGGGUGAGUAAUACAUCGGAACGUACCCAGUUGUGGGGGAUAGCCCGGCGAAAGCCGGAUUAAUACCGCAUACGACCUGAGGGUGAAAGGGGGGGAUCGCAAGACCUCUCGCAGUUGGAGCGGCCGAUGGCGGAUUAGCUAGUUGGUAGGGUAAAGGCCUACCAAGGCGACGAUCCGUAGCUGGUCUGAGAGGACGACCAGCCACACUGGAACUGAGACACGGUCCAGACUCCUACGGGAGGCAGCAGUGGGGAAUUUUGGACAAUGGGGGCAACCCUGAUCCAGCCAUUCCGCGUGAGUGAAGAAGGCCUGAGGGUUGUAAAGCACUUUCAGUGGGAGGAGGAUUACUAGGUUAAGAGCCAGGUAAUUGGACGUUACCCACAGAAGAAGCACCGGCUAACUCCGUG
rnacentral:rRNA from 1 species